CAGUGGGGAAUAUUGCACAAUGGGCGAAAGCCUGAUGCAGCGACGCCGCGUGAGGGAUGACGGCCUUCGGGUUGUAAACCUCUUUCAGCAGGGAAGAAGCGCAAGUGACGGUACCUGCAGAAGAAGCGCCGGCUAACUACGUGCCAGCAGCCGCGGUAAUACGUAGGGCGCAAGCGUUGUCCGGAAUUAUUGGGCGUAAAGAGCUCGUAGGCGGCUUGUCACGUCGGAUGUGAAAGCCCGGGGCUUAACCCCGGGUCUGCAUUCGAUACGGGCUAGCUAGAGUGUGGUAGGGGAGAUCGGAAUUCCUGGUGUAGCGGUGAAAUGCGCAGAUAUCAGGAGGAACACCGGUGGCGAAGGCGGAUCUCUGGGCCAUUACUGACGCUGAGGAGCGAAAGCGUGGGGAGCGAACAGGAUUAGAUACCCUGGUAGUCCACGCCGUAAACGUUGGGAACUAGGUGUUGGCGACAUUCCACGUCGUCGGUGCCGCAGCUAACGCAUUAAGUUCCCCGCCUGGGGAGUACGGCCGCAAGGCUAAAACUCAGAGGAAUUGACGGAGGCGCGCACAAGCAGCGGAGCAUGUGGCUUAAUUCGACGCAACGCGAAGAACCUUACCAAGGCUUGACAUAUACCGGACAGCAUCAGAGAUGGUGCCUCCCUUGUGGUCGGUAUACAGGUGGUGCAUGGCUGUCUUCAGCUCAUGUCCUGAGAUGUUGGGUUUACUCCCGGAACGA
rnacentral:rRNA from 1 species